rnacentral:rRNA from 1 species
UACAGAGGUCCCGAGCGUUGUUCGGAUUCACUGGGCGUAAAGGGUGCGUAGGUGGUGAGGUAAGUCGGAUGUGAAAGCUCGGAGCUCAACUCCGAAAUGGCAUUGGAAACUACCUUGCUCGAGGGUUGGAGGGGGGACUGGAAUGCUUGGUGUAGCAGUGAAAUGCGUAGAUAUGCGGAGGAACACCGAUGGCGAAGGCAAUCCCCUGGGCCUGUACUGACGCUCAUGCACGAAAGCGUGGGGAGCAAACAGG